rnacentral:rRNA from 1 species
GAGUUUGAUCAUGGCUCAGGACGAACGCUGGCGGCGUGCUUAACACAUGCAAGUCGAACGGAAAGGCCCUGCUUUUGUGGGGUGCUCGAGUGGCGAACGGGGUGAGUAACACGUGAGUAACCUGCCCUUGACUUUGGGAUAACUUCAGGAAACUGGGGCUAAUACCGGAUAGGAGCUCCUGCUGCAUGGUGGGGGUUGGAAAGUUUCGGCGGUUGGGAUGGACUCGCGGCUUAUCAGCUUGUUGGUGGGGUAGUGGCUUACCAAGGCUUUGACGGGUAGCCGGCCUGAGAGGGUGACCGGCCACAUUGGGACUGAGAUACGGCCCAGACUCCUACGGGAGGCAGCAGUGGGGAAUAUUGCACAAUGGGCGGAAGCCUGAUGCAGCAACGCCGCGUGCGGGAUGACGGCCUCGGUUGUAA